GACGAACGCUGGCGGCGUGCUUAACACAUGCAAGUCGAACGGAAAGGCCCUGCUUUUGUGGGGUGCUCGAGUGGCGAACGGGUGAGUAACACGUGAGUAACCUGCCCUUGACUUUGGGAUAACUUCAGGAAACUGGGGCUAAUACCGGAUAGGAGCUCCUGCUGCAUGGUGGGGGUUGGAAAGUUUCGGCGGUUGGGGAUGGACUCGCGGGUUAUCAGCUUGUUGGUGGGGUAGUGGCUUACCAAGGCUUUGACGGGUAGCCGGCCUGAGAGGGUGACCGGCCACAUUGGGACUGAGAUACGGCGCAGACUCCUACGGGAGGCAGCAGUGGAGAAUAUUGCACAAUGGGCGGAAGCCUGAUGCAGCAACGCCGCGUGCGGGAUGACGGCCUUCGGGUUGUAAACCGCUUUCGCCUGUGACGAAGCGUGAGUGACGGUAAUGGGUAAAGAAGCACCGGCUAACUACGUG
rnacentral:rRNA from 1 species